GGAUUAGUUGAUUUUGCUAACUUAAAUUUUGUAUAAGAUUGUAAUUACAUGUAAUUUUUUGAGAGUUAUAUUUAUUUUUUUAAAGAAAAUAUUUAGUUAAUAUUCGCAGUUUUUAAUUUUAAUUUAUUUAAAGUUCAUUUAGAAUUAGAAAAAUUUUUUUAGAAUUGUUUAAUUUUGUGCCAGCAAAUGCGGUUAUACAAUUAAUUCAGUUUAAUUUUAUUUGUAUGUAUUAAUUUAUUUUAUAAGGAUUCACAGAUUUAUUUUAUUGGGUGAAAUCUUAAUUUAAUUUAGGAUCUAGGUUAUAAAGAUAAUAUAAAAGUCAAUAAAUAAACUAGGAUUAGAUACCCUAUUAUUUUGAUCAUAUUGAGUAUACAUAUUAUUAAUAGUUAAGUUCUUUAAAUUAAAAAGAAUUGGCGGUAGUUUAAAUUUUUCAGAGGAACCUGUUUUUUAAUCGAUAAUCCACGUUAAAUUUUACUUUAUUUUUGGCCUAUAUACCUCUGUCAUUGAAUGUUUUAAAAGAUAAUUAUUUUCUUUAAUUAUUUAUUUAAUAAAUGUCAAGUCAAGGUGUAGCUAUAUUAAAGAUAAUAAUGGGUUACAUUUAAUUUAAAUAAUUGGAUUAUAAAUUGUAAUAUUUAUAUUAAAAAGGAUUUGAAAGUAAGCAUAAUUUAUUUAUUUAUGCUGAUUAAAUUUCUAAACUAUGUACAUAUCGCCCGUCACUCCUGUUUCUCUCAAAAAUUGGAUAAGUCGUAACAAAGCAAUUCUACUGGAAAGUGGUAUUUGAAUUAA
rnacentral:ncRNA from 1 species